UGGGUUAAGUCCAUUCGUGAGUUUAAAACUCCCGAACGGCCGGUGUUCGUAUGGCCGUCGCCUCGUGGUCGACAUACGAAUGACGACCACCCUGUAUUCGGUUUUAAUUGAGAAGUGUCUGCGGUUAACCACAACGUUCUAAUUGGGAUCAAGAGGUUAACUAGCAGCACACUUCUCUUCUGGGUGGCUGUCCGUUCGGUAGUUUGUUCGGCAAAAAACGUCCAUUAUACGAACAGAGG